CCUCUCACAACAGUCACUGAUUGAAAGUCUAUAACCCAAGAUGUGCUCAAUCUGCCAACGCUAGCCUCACUCUGCCUAAGGAGCCUGAAGCAUAGACAUGAAGUUCCUACAACCACUAAAAUGUGGCCCAAACACAAGGCAUUCUCCCGAGAUGAUGUUGGCUGCCAGCAACCACAGGAAUGACUUUGCCCAGCAUCCUGCGACUUCUGCUGUAGGGAAGAGGACAAGAGCACAGGCCUGCGUGUGUGUCCAGGGCAGAACGCAGGAGGGAGGAAGUCACUUGUCACUCCCUGUUGUUAGUCUGCCACCUGAAAGAGCUGACAUUGGUCCAACAUUAUUUGAUCUGCUUCAAGUCUGAAAGUCACAUGCUGACAACUGCUGUAAUUAAUAUUGAAAACAGG
rnacentral:lncRNA from 1 species